rnacentral:tRNA from 1 species
GUAGUAGCGCAUGACUGUUAAUCAUGAUGUCGUAGGUUCGAGUCCUACUGGCGGAG